AUUAAGCAUAUCAAUAAGCGGAGGAAAAGAAACCAACAGGGAUUGCCUCAGUAACGGCGAGUGAAGCGGCAACAGCUCAAAUUUGAAAUCUGGCCCUAGGCCCGAGUUGUAAUUUGCAGAGGAUGUUUCUGGCGAGGUGCCUUCCGAGUUCCCUGGAACGGGACGCCAUAGAGGGUGAGAGCCCCGUACGGUUGGUCGCUAAGCCUCUGUGAAACUCCUUCGACGAGUCGAGUAGUUUGGGAAUGCUGCUCUAAAUGGGAGGUACACGUCUUCUAAAGCUAAAUACCGGCUAGAGACCGAUAGCGCACAAGUAGAGUGAUCGAAAGAUGAAAAGCACUUUGAAAAGAGGGUUAAAAAGUACGUGAAAUUGUUGAAAGGGAAGCGCUCAUGACCAGACUUGGGCCGGUUGAUCAUCCAUCGUUCUCGGUGGUGCACUCUGCCGGCUCAGGCCAGCAUCAGUUUGGCUCGGGGGAUAAAGGCUUCGGGAAUGUGGCUCUCUUCGGGGAGUGUUAUAGCCCGUUGCGUAAUACCCUGGGCUGGACUGAGGUACGCGCUCCGCAAGGAUGCUGGCGUAAUGGUUAUCAGUGACCCGUCUUGAAACACGGACCAAGGAGUCGUCUUCGUAUGCGAGUGUUCGGGUGUCAAACCCCUACGCGUAAUGAAAGUGAACGUAGGAGAGAGCUUCGGCGCAUCUCCGACCGAUCCUGAUGUUCUCGGAUGGAUUUGAGUAAGAGCAUACGGGGCCGGACCCGAAAGAAGGUGAACUAUGCCUGUAUAGGGUGAAGCCAGAGGAAACUCUGGUGGAGGCUCGCAGCGGUUCUGACGUGCAAAUCGAUCGUCAAAUAUGGGCAUGGGGGCGAAAGACUAAUCGAACCUUCUAGUAGCUGGUUUCCGCCGAAG
rnacentral:rRNA from 1 species